rnacentral:rRNA from 1 species
UCUAGAGAUAGAGUCUUCCCCUUCGGGGGACAAAGUGACAGGUGGUGCAUGGUUGUCGUCAGCUCGUGUCGUGAGAUGUUGGGUUAAGUCCCGCAACGAGCGCAACCCUUAAGCUUAGUUGCCAGCAUUAAGUUGGGCACUCUAAGUUGACUGCCGGUGACAAACCGGAGGAAGGUGGGGAUGACGUCAAAUCAUCAUGCCCCUUAUGAUUUGGGCUACACACGUGCUACAAUGGACAAUACAAAGGGCAGCUAAACCGCGAGGUCAUGCAAAUCCCAUAAAGUUGUUCUCAGUUCGGAUUGUAGUCUGCAACUCGACUACACGAAGCUGGAAUCGCUAGUAAUCGUAGAUCAGCAUGCUACGGUGAAUACGUUCCCGGGUCUUGUACACACCGCCCGUCACACCACGAGAGUCUGUAACACCCGAAGCCGGUGGAGUAACCAUUUAUGGAGCUAGCCGUCGAAGGUGGGACAAAUGAUUGGGGUGAAGUCGUAACAAGGUAGCCGUAUCGGAA